CUGGAUGAGCUGUACGGCAUCUGGCGUAACCCUGCCUCCCCGAAGGUUGGCUACAACCUGCCAAUGCACAAGAUGACCAACACAGAUCUGAGCAGGAUUCUUAAGAGUGAGGAGAUCCAGAAAGCACUUUGCAAACUUAACAAGAAGAUCAAUCA